AUCUGAGGUUUGUGUAUAUAAGUGACAAUGGAAGACAACUCUAACCACAUCGGCUCCAACAGCAGACUUGAACUUGCGGUGACCAGAAGCGAAUCAACUUGAAAGAAAAUGAAAACAUUCGUCGCCUUGGUCUUUACAGUCGCUUUCGCCUGUCUUGUCUCAAAGAUUGAAGCACAGAAAUGCAGAUAUAACUCAGACUGUGUUACUUUCUGUGGCGGAAGUACCAACGAUGCUGUGUGUGAUGUCCCAUCAGGAGCCUGUCAUUGUCACUCUCACGGUGAAAUCAGCUGUUCCAACCACAGUACAUGCCGACGUGAGUGCGGAAACCCCAGGGCCUGCUGCAACAACGACCACCAUUGCCAUUGCCACGAGGCAUGCGAUUACAGGCCUUUAUAAGUUGUCUAAAGGACUCUAGUGAUGGAGUGAAAACAAUGUCACUGAUUCAACUGUCAUAACAUGUCUAAAUAGAGUUCAUCCUGUGAUAUUUGUUAUGUACACAUUAAUAAAAAAAUUAAUGAAUAUUUGUUAUAAUGACAAAAGA